AGGUAUGGAGAGGCUGCAGAGAAUCUUCGCCGGUGCCGGAGGAGCUUUGGGCCACCCGCCGCCCGACUCCCCCACCCUCGAUUCCUCCGAGCAGGUCUACAUCUCCUCCUUGGUGCUCCUCAAAAUGCUCAAGCACGGUAACUCUACGCUUGAUUGAUUUUUCAACUUCGGAUUCAUGCACGGACUUCAAAAAAACCCUAAGCGAUUCCUUUUGUGGCUAUGUUCAUCGAAAUAUGCAAAUACAUGUUAUUGUUGGCUCAUUUAGACCAGAGAUGGUAGUUGGGCGGUACCAUUCGCAUCCUGGAUUUGGAUGUUGGCUAUCCGGUGUGGACAUUAAUACCCAGCAGAGCUUUGAAGCUUUGAAUCAACGGGCUGUAGCUGUAGUGGUGGAUCCAAUUCAGAGCGUGAAGGGGAAGGUAGUCAUUGAUGCAAUCCGCCUUAUCAACCCACAAACUAUGAUGCUUGGCCAAGAACCACGGCAGACCACAUCCAAUCUCGGGCAUCUAAAUAAGCCAUCAAUUCAAGCCUUGAUCCAUGGGUUAAAUCGUCAUUAUUACUCCAUAGCAAUCAAUUACCGGAAGAAUGAACUCGAGGAGAAAAUGUUGCUUAACCUUCACAAGAAGAAAUGGACAGAUGGGCUGACACUAAAGCGAUUUGACACUCAUUCAAAAACAAAUGAGCAAACAGUUCAGGAGAUGUUAAAUCUAGCUGUUAAAUACAACAAGGCAGUGCAGGAGGAGGAUGAGCUGCCACCAGAGAAGCUUGCAAUUGCAAAUGUGGGAAGACAAGAUGUUAAGAAGCACCUCGAAGAGCAUGUCUCCAACUUAAUGUCCUCAAACAUUGUCCAGACCUUGGGCACAAUGCUUGAUACUCUGGUGUUCUAGAGUUUAGUAAGCAACUGCUUGGCCCGCAAGAUGGACAACAUUGUGGAUUCUCUAAACAACGCAUACCAAGAGUUUGUUGUUGCUGCAGCUAAUGUGCUCGAGGCCAAGGAAACUUCUGGCGGCCAAAAAACAACAGCCACGGAUACUGCCCUAGAGAGCUUUCAGCAGAAGUGGGAACUCUUCAGAGUGACUUGUGAUCAAGCAGAGGAGUUUGUGGAGUCUGUGAAGCAAAGGAUUGGCUCAGAGUGUCUGGUGGAUGAGGCAACCGGCCCUGUGGUAGGGAAGUCUGGGCAGACUACGACAACUGGGCUCCCACCAAUCAGUGCAGUUUGAUUGGAACAGAGAGUAAAGCUGUUCGAUGGCUUGUCAUAGGACUUCAAUAUGGUUCCGGAACAGCUGCUGGUUCAGCACACUCUCAUCAAUCAGCUCCUUUUGAUGCUAGAUUCUCUGAAGAUUCAGCUCCAUAGAUAUCAUCUUUGGAACAUCAGGUCAAUAAGAUGGGUUAUGUAAUCAGUCUGAGUAAUGUUAAAGAUGCUGUUUACAGUUCAAGGACUGUUAGAUUCUGCUGUGUUUGGGUGAUAUCGAAUACACCGGAUGCAGUCGUACUAGGUUCCAGAUCAUUGUUUCUGCUUCAGCAGUUGUGCUUUUGUGGGAGGCAAUAUGCAAAUCAUUUGUGGUUCCUUUGUAAUCUAUAACUGCCCGUAGUAUUGUUGCCUCUGAUGCACUCUUACACCUACAAUAGACUAUUUCUAGGAGACUUUUAACUUGUAACAACUGAUCAAGAGCCAAGAGCAGUGCUUUUGUUGAAGUCAUGUAUUUACUGCCGUUUCUUUGUAAUUGUAGGAAGGAAGCUGAUUCCAAUAAGUUCAUCUUGAAAAA